GUUUGUGUGCAUCAUAUGUGGUCAUUAUCCCACAUUCUCCAUUGCAAAUAUUCCUUCGCCUUUUUGUGAUGAGAAAAGCGAAGGAAUCAUUGCGCUAGAAAACAUGGGAUAACGACCAAAUAUGGUGCAUACAAA